GGUUUCUGUGCGCUGCCGCCCUGUUUUCCCUGGGCUCUGCCCCUCCUGCGGGAUGUGCUCUGUGCCUUAUCUCACGAGGUCUGGGUCAGGGUUGGCAAUGAGGGGGACAUGAUAUUUAGAAAGAAACAUGAGGCAGUGGCCUCUGCAUCUCCUGACACCUGACAAGAGGGCGGGGCUUCCCAGCAGCAGGAGAAGCACUGAGGCUGCUGAGCCCAGGAAGGGGAAUCAGGUGAUUCUCCCAAGACACAUGACACACCCACAUGCCCAGGAAGCUCUGAGCAAGCAGGUGCAAGGUGGCCAAGAACAGGAACUCUCAGAAGCCUCCUGAGGCCAACAGCAGGAGGAGCUGCCUGCAGAGGGAGGCUUGCUC
rnacentral:lncRNA from 1 species